rnacentral:misc_RNA from 1 species
UACGGAGGGUGCAAGCGUUGUCCGGAUUCAUUGGGCGUAAAGAGCUCGUAGGCGGUUCGAUAAGUCGGGUGUGAAACCUCCAGGCUCAACCUGGAGACGCCACCCGAUACUGUCGUGACUAGAGUCCAGUAGGGGAGCGUGGAGUUCCUGGUGUAGCGGUGAAAUGCGCAGAUAUCAGGUGGAACACCAGCGGCGAAGGCGGCGCUCUGGGCUGGCACUGACGCUGAGGAGCGAAAGCGUGGGGAGCGAACAGG